GUACUCGCUUCGGCAGCACAUAUGCUAAAAUUGGAACGAUACAGAGAAGAUUAGCAUGGCCCCUGUCCAAGGAUGACACGCAAUAUUAUUUUUUU
rnacentral:snRNA from 1 species